AACCAAUUGAUUAGAUACAAGUUUACAAAAUUGUCUUAACCAGAAAUGUCUCAUUGUUCAUUAUUUGUCGCAGUUAUAGUGUAACCAUUAUCUAAGAAUGUGGAAUUCGAUCGCUCUCAGUAUAUUUCUUUUAUCAUCCACUGUUUUCUCUGGCAAAGUGCCCAGUGACAUUUCCAAUGAUUGGACGAAAUCGGUAAAUAAGGUAAAAAUGGAAUGUUUAGAACAAGGGAACACUACCGUGGAAGCUGUUGACGCAAUGCUUGAAACAUGGAACAUACCCGAAUCGCUUAAUUGUUUUAUGACAUGCGUGUAUGAAAAAAAUGGAUAUAUAGAUAAAGAUGGAAAUUUUACUAAAGUACUCCUUCACCAUAAGGGUGUAGCCCAGGAAAAUCUGCAACGAUGUGCAAAUGCAGUUGAAGCUUACACAAACGAAAGUUGUAAUAGAGUAUAUUAUUUUUGCACAUGUAUGGUCUCUUCAGUAUCCAUCAACGAAGUUUGAAUAUACCAACAUAUACAGCUUACAAAUACCUAUGUUGGCUUAAUAAUAUUAAGUAAUAUAAUAUUUCAUUCCUUCAAGAUGAAUAAAAUAAUCAGAAACA